GUGCAAGAGGCGAACCAGGGGAACUGAAACAUCUAAGUACCCUGAGGAAAAGAAAUCAACCGAGAUUCCCUUAGUAGUGGCGAGCGAACGGGGAUUAGCCCUUAAGCUUCAUUGAUUUUAGCGGAACGCUCUGGAAAGUGCGGCCAUAGUGGGUGAUAGCCCCGUACGCGAAAGGAUCUUUGAAGUGAAAUCGAGUAGGACGGAGCACGAGAAACUUUGUCUGAACAUGGGGGGACCAUCCUCCAAGGCUAAAUACUACUGACUGACCGAUAGUGAACCAGUACCGUGAGGGAAAGGCGAAAAGAACCCCGGAGAGGGGAGUGAAAUAGAACCUGAAACCGUAUGCGUACAAGCAGUGGGAGCCUACUUGUUAGGUGACUGCGUACCUUUUGUAUAAUGGGUCAGCGACUUAUAUUCAGUGGCGAGCUUAACCGUAUAGGGUAGGCGUAGCGAAAGCGAGUCUUAAUAGGGCGUUUAGUCGCUGGGUAUAGACCCGAAACCGGGCGAUCUAUCCAUGAGCAGGUUGAAGGUUAGGUAACACUGACUGGAGGACCGAACCCACUCCCGUUGAAAAGGUAGGGGAUGACUUGUGGAUCGGAGUGAAAGGCUAAUCAAGCUCGGAGAUAGCUGGUUCUCCUCGAAAGCUAUUUAGGUAGCGCCUCAUGUAUCACUCUGGGGGGUAGAGCACUGUUUCGGCUAGGGGGUCAUCCCGACUUACCAAACCGAUGCAAACUCCGAAUACCCAGAAGUGCCGAGCAUGGGAGACACACGGCGGGUGCUAACGUCCGUCGUGAAAAGGGAAACAACCCAGACCGCCAGCUAAGGUCCCAAAGUUGUGGUUAAGUGGUAAACGAUGUGGGAAGGCUUAGACAGCUAGGAGGUUGGCUUAGAAGCAGCCACCCUUUAAAGAAAGCGUAAUAGCUCACUAGUCGAGUCGGCCUGCGCGGAAGAUGUAACGGGGCUCAAACCACACACCGAAGCUGCGGGUGUCACGUAAGUGACGCGGUAGAGGAGCGUUCUGUAAGCCUGUGAAGGUGAGUUGAGAAGCUUGCUGGAGGUAUCAGAAGUGCGAAUGCUGACAUGAGUAACGACAAUGGGUGUGAAAAACAUCCACGCCGAAAGACCAAGGGUUCCUGCGCAACGUUAAUCGACGCAGGGUUAGUCGGUUCCUAAGGCGAGGCUGAAAAGCGUAGUCGAUGGGAAACAGGUUAAUAUUCCUGUACUUCUGGUUACUGCGAUGGAGGGACGGAGAAGGCUAGGCCAGCUUGGCGUUGGUUGUCCAAGUUUAAGGUGGUAGGCUGAAAUCUUAGGUAAAUCCGGGGUUUCAAGGCCGAGAGCUGAUGACGAGUCGUCUUUUAGAUGACGAAGUGGUUGAUGCCAUGCUUCCAAGAAAAGCUUCUAAGCUUCAGGUAACCAGGAACCGUACCCCAAACCGACACAGGUGGUCGGGUAGAGAAUACCAAGGCGCUUGAGAGAACUCGGGUGAAGGAACUAGGCAAAAUGGCACCGUAACUUCGGGAGAAGGUGCGCCGGCUAGGGUGAAGGAUUUACUCCGUAAGCUCUGGCUGGUCGAAGAUACCAGGCCGCUGCGACUGUUUAUUAAAAACACAGCACUCUGCAAACACGAAAGUGGACGUAUAGGGUGUGACGCCUGCCCGGUGCCGGAAGGUUAAUUGAUGGGGUUAGCGCAAGCGAAGCUCUUGAUCGAAGCCCCGGUAAACGGCGGCCGUAACUAUAACGGUCCUAAGGUAGCGAAAUUCCUUGUCGGGUAAGUUCCGACCUGCACGAAUGGCGUAACGAUGGCGGCGCUGUCUCCACCCGAGACUCAGUGAAAUUGAAAUCGCUGUGAAGAUGCAGUGUAUCCGCGGCUAGACGGAAAGACCCCGUGAACCUUUACUGUAGCUUUGCACUGGACUUUGAGCCUGCUUGUGUAGGAUAGGUGGGAGGCUUUGAAGCGUGGACGCCAGUUCGCGUGGAGCCAUCCUUGAAAUACCACCCUGGCAUGCUUGAGGUUCUAACUCUGGUCCGUAAUCCGGAUCGAGGACAGUGUAUGGUGGGCAGUUUGACUGGGGCGGUCUCCUCCUAAAGAGUAACGGAGGAGUACGAAGGUGCGCUCAGACCGGUCGGAAAUCGGUCGCAGAGUAUAAAGGCAAAAGCGCGCUUGACUGCGAGACAGACACGUCGAGCAGGUACGAAAGUAGGUCUUAGUGAUCCGGUGGUUCUGUAUGGAAGGGCCAUCGCUCAACGGAUAAAAGGUACUCCGGGGAUAACAGGCUGAUACCGCCCAAGAGUUCAUAUCGACGGCGGUGUUUGGCACCUCGAUGUCGGCUCAUCACAUCCUGGGGCUGAAGCCGGUCCCAAGGGUAUGGCUGUUCGCCAUUUAAAGUGGUACGCGAGCUGGGUUUAGAACGUCGUGAGACAGUUCGGUCCCUAUCUGC
rnacentral:rRNA from 1 species